rnacentral:rRNA from 1 species
AUUGAACGCUGGCGGCAGGCUUAACACAUGCAAGUCGAGCGGAGAUGAGGUGCUUGCACCUUAUCUUAGCGGCGGACGGGUGAGUAAUGCUUAGGAAUCUGCCUAUUAGUGGGGGACAACAUUCCGAAAGGAAUGCUAAUACCGCAUACGUCCUACGGGAGAAAGCAGGGGAUCUUCGGACCUCGCGCUAAUAGCUGAGUCUAAGUCGGAUUAGCUAGUUGGUGGGGUAAAGGCCUACCACGGCGACGAUCUGUAGCGGGUCUGAGAGGAUGAUCCGCCACACUGGGACUGAGACACGGCCCAGACUCCUACGGGAGGCAGCAGUGGGGAAUAUUGGACAAUGGGGGAAACCCUGAUCCAGCCAUGCCGCGUGUGUGAAGAAGGCCUUAUGGUUGUAAAGCACUUUAAGCGAGGAGGAGGCUACUGAGACUAAUACUCUUGGAUAGUGGACGUUACUCGCAGAAUAAGCACCGGCUAACUCUGUGCCAGCCGCCGCCGUAA